CAAACGCUCGACAAAUUACUUGGAUCGGAAAAUCACUACCGAUCUCGCGGAUUCGUGUCAGCUGUGGAAACGGUACGUGAAUUAACCACGCGAUGCGGAGAACCAGAACAGAGUCGACCA